UUUAUUUAGUCAUUUACAAUCAUAUAUCCAUACAUACCUACAAACUUAACUCGUUUAACAAGACUAUAUGUUUUGAUAUAUUAUGUUUUGCAACUUUUUAUCCAUUUUUUAUUUUUAUUUGGUCCCUUGCAAACAUAUUUUUAUUUGUUUUUAUAUAUUAUGUUUUGCAACCUUUUGUCCAAAUUUAUUUAUUUAUUCAAUCCCAU
rnacentral:lncRNA from 1 species